CCAUUUGCGGGGGCGUGGGUGCAGUCGGCCCAAUCCAAUCGCCCGCACGCCGCAACCCUUCCUCCGUCCUCGAUCUCUCUCCCUCAGCCGCCACGAACCCUAGCCCCCUUUCCUACCAUCCCGCGGUCGCUGCCCCUGCUCCAUCCGACCUCCAUCCUCUCCCAUGUCGCCGCCCCUCUUCUCCUCGCUCACCUCGGCCACCUCCUCUCCUCCGCCGUGUCGUCGGCCCCCUCCCUCCUCUCAGUUCCGUGCCAGCCGCCGGCCAAACCCUAGCCCCCGUUCCCCUUGGUCCCCACAGUUACUGCAUCCACAGCCACCCGCUCAGAGAGGCCGAAGACCGGGCAGCGGACGCCUCACGGGGUGGAGGAGAGGCCGGCGAUAGGGAAAAGUAGCAUCUUCAUGGAUGAGAUCCUGACGGCUGAAGAUGGUGCGCACGGGAGGAGCUUGGAAGAUGUCAAGUGGUGGCGCCGCCGGGGAUGAGGGGAGCAGCAGCCGCAGCAGGCGGUGAUGCUAGCGAAGCGGUGGUCCAUGGUGCCUUCGUCGUUGUCGUCCUCGGCAGAAGGUGAGGCCAAGAUGGAUCUCAACAUUCUUUGUGAUAUUCGUCAUCCAUGGAAGAUGCAGAAGAAAAACUCAUGCAGAUCGAGCGAAGAAGAGAAGAGGAAGGAUCUUGAGGAAGAGGAAAAAAACAAGGCAAUGGGACUAUUGACUGGUACAAGAGCUUCUUCAGAAAACCCACGCUGCUUUUCUAAAUCGCAAUUUUGUUCAAGGUACACAUGAAUCUAAGGUCCAGAUUCUAGCUACACCCUUUACUACAACAAUCUCAGGCUUUACUGAAAAAUGUACUACUUAUAUAGUUGAUAUCUUCAAUUCAUAUGGUCGUCCGCUGGAUGAUCACUGGUCUUCGGUUCAUAUGGUCACUGGCUGGAAGCUUGCUGUUAUGUUUGCUUCAUAUGGUGGUCGACUGGAAGCUCGCGGUCUGAAUGAUCUCAUUGUCUAUGGCCAGCAAUACACACUUUUCAUUACUACGAGCCAGGGGUUCACGGGCCAUCAUGAUGAUAUACUUGGUUCUUUAAAGAAGAAUGGUAAGAACUAACGAGGGUUGUCUUGUCCAAGAGCUCUGCCGCGAUGGCAUCGCCACUCAGUGAUGCCUCAGCAGUAAGGCUGAUCGCAGGGAGGUGCGACAUGGGUGGCCUAAAAAGCUAAUUUGGUGCCCUCUCUCUUUGCCUCUUGUUUCCUCCAGCACCUUGAUUUUGAUGGCUAAUAUAUUGACUUUCUAAACAUCUUUAAUUUAUAAGGAAUGUAGUAGUUAUAUGCUUUUCAUUUAUGAUAGAGAGAUUGGACCUAGGUGUCUUGCUUGCUGCUUUGUAAUAUAAGCAUGAUAUUUUUCUGCCGAUUUUGUGGACAGGCUAACAAUGAAAAUUUUAUCUGUAAAAUAUGGUGAUCCCUAUAGUGCUAUUUCUGAAGCUUCGCUGUGCUUGCUUUCCCCCUACAAGCAGUAAUCCAGUCACGGGUGCAUCAGGUACUAUAUCAUGACAGUGUGAUUUCUUUUCAUAGAAUGUUGUCAUCUAUAUCUUGCUGAAGUACAGAACUAUUGCACCGACGACCACAAUGGGAUGGAUCAAGCAGCCAAGACUCAGAGUGUGGUCGGGCAGCGCCAUGGGGCAGAUCUGUGCGGCGCAAGGGGCGGCAGAUGCGAAACUGAAGCUUCCCCGCUAACUUCGGAGCAGUCAAUUGAGCAGAUGGACACGACGGCAUAGUGAGGAUUGGUGCUGCCGUCCCUGGUAGGAGCCCAAUGUCCUAAUCGAACUACUGUCAUGGAGAGGGCAAUACGUGGAUUUGCUUCAGAUAUUGGAGACAACGCCAUUGUGCCGAAGCUCUGAAGCAUACGAUUUUUACAAUCUGUAUUUAUGGGAGAAAGGAUUUGACAUUCGAUAUGCUAAAAGCUGUCUGAAUGUCGAGAGGACGUGGAAAUCUAUUGUGGAUAAUACUGGUCUUGCCAGCGUUAGUGCACUACUCUGAUAAGGCUGCUGCAGUCUGAACCAUUCAUUGUCUGGCACGUAUGUGCAGACGAUACACUGACAAUCGCACAAGCACAUCAACGUGUACAGCAGGUAUUUGAUGAAGAAUUUGAGGCAGAACAAUGUGAACCUUGCUAAAGUGCACAACAUUAGGCAGUUUCUUUGGGUCGACGGAGAAUGUGCCUUUCACAAAAAGAGCUUCAAGGAGCUUGUGUGGCAAAAUAAGCCGCGAGCAAGAGGCUGAUGAUGUUAGUUAAACGUUGGAGGUGUUUGCGGAGCUUGGUUCAAAGGAUCCUCACUUCACAUAUCACGUGCAGGCUGAUAAGGAGGGGAGGAUAAACGCUCUCAUGUGGGCAAAUGGGGACAGUAGGCUGGUGCAAAAAAGACUGUAGCUUAUUCUUAAAUUUUCUGUCUCUAUACUGAAUUUGGUGUUUACCGAUAAAUCAUGUAGCGUGUGAGAUCCAUCAUGCAGUUUAACUGCUAAUCCCAAUUAUGUUAUGCAUAUGCCCUGAAGCUGA